GGGAACACAGAUUUUUUAAAGACCGAUUCAAUUUUGCUUUCUAUUUGUGGUAUAUGUUGGCAUCCUCCUGCUCAAUGUUUUAAUGCAGGCAGCAACCACUUAGAUUUUAGAUUCUUGGAAGCUCCUAGUCCAUAGGAAUUAGAUCUUUAAAUUGUAGUACUAAAAAGUCAUAAGAGUAGGCUUGGUCUUUUUUUCCCCCAUACUUGGAAUUGAACUCAGGGCCUCAUGCAUGCUAGGCAAGCUCUUUGCUAUAGACCAAUACCCCCAGCCCUUUUGAUUUUGAGAUAGGACUUACUAAACUGCUGAGGCUGGAUUUGGACUUGUUAUCCUCCUGCCUCAGUUUCUCCGGCAUCUAGGAUUACAGGUGUGUGACACCAUGCCCACCCUGGCUCUUCUAAAAUGGAACUUGAGUCUCUGAGAUGGCCAUGAUAUGGUGAUUUUUGCCCAGGGGUGACGAUGUUCUUUUGUAAAUUGCUUCUGAAUCUAAUGAAACCUUCUGAUCGUGGUGGGGUCUCUGUCUGUCUGUCUAUCUGUUUGUCUGUCUG